UCGUCGCCUGAAGAGUGGUGUUGCCCCGAGUAUUUUCCCUUGGAACAACUUUACUGAUCCUUUGAGAAGGGAGUCAGAAUAUGACAGAACCUCAAACGUCAGGCUAUGCAGCUAAGCUGAGAAGAUACUAGCGACAUGGUGGCUAAGCUAAGACAGUAAAGAUGGAUCACGACUACGUGACACACCCACCUGCAGGUGCUCUGGAUGAGGCUUUGGAUUACAUCCAUGACUUAGAAGCCAAGUUCCUUUGCUGGAGCCAGGAGACGAUGUCAUGGCAGACAAAAGUUUCUCGUUCAAGACCUCCUAACUGACAUUGGAUCUAAGAU